CAGUCGCCACGGGAAUACGAAGGGGGCUAGCGUUGCUCGGAAUGACUGGGCGUAAAGGGCGCGUAGGCGGCAUACACAGUCAGAUGUGAAAUUCCUGGGCUUAACCUAGGGGCUGCAUUUGAUACGUGUAGGCUAGAGUGGGGAAGAGGUUUGUGGAAUUCCCAGUGUAGAGGUGAAAUUCGUAGAUAUUCGGAGGAACACCAGUGGCGAAGGCGGCUCACUGGUCCAUUACUGACGCUGAGGUGCGAAAGCGUGGGGAGCAAACAGGAUUAGAUACCCCUGUAGUCCCUGUCUCUUAUAC
rnacentral:rRNA from 1 species